rnacentral:rRNA from 1 species
GACGAACGCUGGCGGCGUGCUUAACACAUGCAAGUCGAACGGGUCUGCCCUGUUUUUUGCGGGGUGGGUCAGUGGCGAACGGGUGAGUAACACGUGAGUAACCUGCCCCUCACUUCUGGAUAACCGCUUGAAAGGGUGGCUAAUACGGGGUGUUCUGGCUGCGCCGCAUGGUGUGGCUGGGAAAGAUUCACUUUUGUGGUGUUUUGGUGGGGGAUGGGCUCGCGGCCUAUCAGCUUGUUGGUGGGGUGAUGGCCUGUCAAGGCUUUGACGGGUAGCCGGCCUGAGAGGGUGGGCGGUCACACUGGGACUGAGAUACGGCCCAGACUCCUGCGGGAGGCAGCAGUGGGGGGUAUUGCACAAUGGGCGGAGGCCUGAUGCAGCGACGUCGCGUGAGGGAUGGAGGCCUUCGGGUUGUGAACCUUUUUCGCCGGUGAAGAAGGUCCUGCUCUUUGUGGUGGGGUUGACGGUAGCCGGGUUAUGAAGCGCCGGCUAACUACGUG